CCCGUAAUCAGUACACAGGAUCUAACAUCCAUUACUCCCACAUCUACUUCCACAGUCAACAUUUCCACAGUCAUUACAUCCACCCCUGUUUCUAUAUCAUACCCUGCAGAGAGGACUAACACGACCGAUAAACAAAUCCAAGAUGCCUAUGGCCUGGCAGUCUCUGCUGUGGUUAUGGUGCUCCUCCUCCUCCUGGGAUGGAUCCUACGAUCCAUCUUAAGCCAUUUUGGCAUUAAAUGCCGCGUCCCAGUGAGGAGGGGGGAGGGAGGCGGAGUGAUGUCGAAAACCCCCAGCCACGGGACGAGGAAACCCGCCCCAAAGAGCGUCUGGAAAUGAUGGAAUCGACUGCCACGGGAAAAACGGAUCAAGACAGACCGCUGUCAAUUGGGGCAAAGGGUGGCCGACCCCGCACGAUGCCCCCCAAAAAGUCUCUCCUGUUAACUCCGCCAUCUUACUACCUCAGAUCGUAAGUCAAAUGUUUUAUUUCAGAUUUCUCUAUACUAUACAUUUAAAGGAUUUUUCUUUGAUUUUUAGCUCCAAGAAGUAAAGGACAGAAAGACAAAAAGGACAGUGCGCUAUAGUCAGAUAGACUGUGCAACCUAUUUACAUGUUGAAAACAAUUUUGAUUAAAUUUUA